GGGGGGUAUUCCAGAAAGGAGGUUCAACAAACACUGAGAUAAAACUUAACCUCUGGGUUGUCUGAACCUGUGGUGACUAAACCCGAGCUGUCGGUUCCAAAAUACCGGUAACCAGUUAGUUCAAUCGACCCUGUGUUACAUAACCUGGAAAUG